AGCAGGAUUGAGAACGAGAAGACAACUUUCGAUUCGUCUGUUCUCGAGACGCCUCCCUCCGCAUCUCCGUUCCGCUCUCUCCCCUUCGACCACCUCCACCACCAUCGCACGCCGCAUCGCCUCUCCAAUCUCUCCCCGGUGGCUGCGAAUCAAUCCCAGCUGGAUAACACUCAUCCCUCAUGCCAUCUACCUCUCCAGUAUAAUAUACUUCUAGGGCAGGACAGAAGGAACACUGUGACCAUGUCCCCCAUGUACGCAUCAAGCUCCCAAGUGAUAAUCUGAAUGCCUGCUCAGAUCCUAGGCGCCGGCGGAAUCAACCUUGACCCAUCAAUGAUGGUCAUCCCCCAUUGACGAUCACAUGGUCCAUAGAGACCAUGGUGUCUGAUUUUUGACGGUUUAAGCUUUGUCUACACUUUUUCUUUCUCAGCAUUUGCUUCUGAUGGUUUAUACUUUAGAGUUGGGUAUUGGAUGUUCAUUCUCUAGAUGAAUUGGUCAUGUACUUGAAAUUUUGCACAUUUGGUACUGAAUCUGCACUCGAAGUGGG
rnacentral:lncRNA from 1 species